CCUACGGGAGGCUGCAGUGAGGAAUAUUGCGCAAUGGAGGCAACUCUGACGCAGCCAUGCCGCGUGCAGGAAGAAGGCGCUACGCGUUGUAAACUGCUUUUAACCGGGAAGAAACCCCAGGACGUGUCCUGGGUUGACGGUACCGGAGGAAUAAGCACCGUCUAACUUCGUGCCAGCAGCCGCGGUAAUACGAAGGGUGCAAGCGUUAUCCGGUUUAAUUGGGGUUAAAGGGUGGCGAGGUGGGGGGUUAGAAAGCCUACAGCUCAACUGUAGAAUUGCCAUUGAUACUGGCGCUCUUGAGUGCGCUUGAAGUAGGCGGAAUGUGCCGUGUAGCGGUGAAAUGCUUAGAUAUGGCACAGAACACCAAUUGCGAAGGCAGCUUACUAAGGCGAUACUGACACUGAGGCACGAAAGCGUGGGGAUCGAACAGGAUUAGAUACCCCUGUAGUC
rnacentral:rRNA from 1 species